AUUGAACGCUGGCGGCAGGCUUAACACAUGCAAGUCGAGCGGGGUGAUGGUGCUUGCACUAUCACUUAGCGGCGGACGGGUGAGUAAUGCUUAGGAAUCUGCCUAUUAGUGGGGGACAACAUCUCGAAAGGGGUGCUAAUACCGCAUACGUCCUACGGGAGAAAGCAGGGGAUCGCUUGUGACCUUGCGCUAAUAGAUGAGCCUAAGUCGGAUUAGCUAGUUGGUGGGGUAAAGGCCUACCAAGGCGACGAUCUGUAGCGGGUCUGAGAGGAUGAUCCGCCACACUGGGACUGAGACACGGCCCAGACUUCUACGGGAGGCAGCAGUGGGGAAUAUUGGACAAUGGGGGGAACCCUGAUCCAGCCAUGCCGCGUGUGUGAAGAAGGCCUUAUGGUUGUAAAGCACUUUAAGCGAGGAGGAGGCUCUUUUGGUUAAUACCCAAGAUGAGUGGACGUUACUCGCAGAAUAAGCACCGGCUAACUCUGUGCCAGCCGCCGCCGUAA
rnacentral:rRNA from 1 species